AGAGGGUGCAAGCGUUAAUCGGAAUUACUGGGCGUAAAGCGCGCGUAGGUGGAAGAGAAAGUUGGAUGUGAAAGCCCUGGGCUCAACCUGGGAACUGCAUUCAAAACUACUCAUCUAGAGUACAGGAGAGGGAAGUGGAAUUUCCGGUGUAGUGGUGAGAUACGUAGAUAUCGGAAGGAACACCAAUGGCGAAGGCAACUUCCUGGACUGAUACUGACACUGAGGCGCGAAAGCGUGGGGAGCAAACAGGAUUAGAUACCCUGGUAGUCCACGCCGUAAACGAUGAGAACUAGACGUUGGGCCGCAAUGACGGCUCAGUGUCGAAGCUAACGCGAUAAGCUCUCCGCCUGGGGAGUACGGCCGCAAGGUUA
rnacentral:rRNA from 1 species